GCGCUUGUAGCUUAAUUGGAUAAAGCUCUGGUUUCCGGAACCAGUGAGUGCCAGUUCAAAUCUGGCCAAGCGCA
rnacentral:tRNA from 1 species